rnacentral:rRNA from 1 species
UACGUAGGGGGCAAGCGUUGUCCGGAUUUAUUGGGCGUAAAGAGCGUGUAGGCGGCUGGGUAGGUCCGUUGUGAAAACUCGAGGCUCAACCUCGAGACGCCGAUGGAAACCCUCCAGCUAGAGUCCGGAAGAGGAGAGUGGAAUUCCUGGUGUAGCGGUGAAAUGCGCAGAUAUCAGGAGGAACACCGGUGGCGAAGGCGGGUCUCUGGGCAGUAACUGACGCUGGAGGAGCGAAAAGCGUGGGGAGCGAACAGG